GUACACGCUGUGACUAGCAUAUCAAUAAGCGGAGGAAAAGAAACUAACAAGGAUUCCCCUAGUAACGGCGAGUGAAGCGGGAAGAGCUCAAAUUUGAAAUCUUAAAGGGUUUCCCUUUACGAAUUGUAGUUUAAAGAAGUGUUUUCUGUUGAGGUUUUGGUAAAAGUUCUUUGGAAUAGGACAUCAUAGAGGGUGAGAAUCCCGUAUUUGACCUUUACUUUCAACUUUGUGAUACACUUUCAAAGAGUCGGAUUGUUUGGGAAUGCAGUCCAAAAUGGGUGGUAAAUUUCAUCUAAAGCUAAAUAUUGGCGAGAGACCGAUAGCGAACAAGUACCGUGAGGGAAAGAUGAGAAGAACUUUGAAAAGAGAGUUAAACAGUACGUGAAAUUGUCAAAAGGGAAGCGUUUGACACCAGUGUUGUUUUUCUGAAAAUCAAUUAAAGAACUGUUUAUGCUAAGUUGUUUAGACUUUAUCAGCUAACUGUUUAGUUUUGAGCUUUUCUUUAAUGCACUUUUCAGUUAACAAGUCAACAUCAAUUUCUUUUGCUGUAAAAAAGCUUGAGGAAGGUGGCUUGAGAUUCGUCUUAAGUGUUUAUAGCCUCUUGCCUAUGCAGUCGGAGAGAUUGAGGUCUGCAGCGUAGAUCCUUCGGGGCUAAAUGCAUUUGUGCUAAGUUAUAAGCAUUUUAUAGACAACUUGUUGACUAUGAUUUGUCUUGUAGCUUACUCGCUUAUGUUAUUUUACCUACGCUUAGGAUGUUGACGCGCGUGUGUGCGUG
rnacentral:rRNA from 1 species